GACGAACGCUGGCGGCGUGCCUAAUACAUGCAAGUAGAACGCCGAAGAGAGGAGCUUACUCUUCUUGGAUGAGUUGCGAACGGGUGAGUAACGCGUAGGUAACCUGCCUUGUAGCGGGGGAUAACUAUUGGAAACGAUAGCUAAUACCGCAUAACAAUGGAUGACACAUGUCAUUUAUUUGAAAGGGGCAAUUGCUCCACUACAAGAUGGACCUGCGUUGUAUUAGCUAGUAGGUGAGGUAAUGGCUCACCUAGGCGACGAUACAUAGCCGACCUGAGAGGGUGAUCGGCCACACUGGGACUGAGACACGGCCCAGACUCCUACGGGAGGCAGCAGUAGGGAAUCUUCGGCAAUGGGGGCAACCCUGACCGAGCAACGCCGCGUGAGUGAAGAAGGUUUUCGGAUCGUAAAGCUCUGUUGUAAGUCAAGAACGGGUGUGAGAGUGGAAAGUUCACACUGUGACGGUAGCUUACCAGAAAGGGACGGCUAACUACGU
rnacentral:rRNA from 1 species